ensembl:snoRNA SNORD83 Small nucleolar RNA SNORD83
GCCAAAUGAUGUAAAAUAGAUUUCCUUGAGCACUCUGUGCAAAGAGGACUCCUAUCUAUCACCCAAGACUGAUGGCU